UUCCACUAGUUUGUAGGAUUUCAACCUCUAGGGCAGUGGUUCCCAUCCCUGGUCCUGGAGGCACCCAAACACUGCUCAUUUUGCAUGUCUUCUUUCUCUGACACACCA